rnacentral:rRNA from 1 species
AGAGUUUGAUCCUGGCUCAGAUUGAACGCUGGCGGCAUGCCUAACACAUGCAAGUCGAACGCCUGUAGCAAUACAGGAGUGGCGCACGGGUGAGUAACGCGUGGGAACCUGCCCUGGAGUGGGGGAUAACCCGGCGAAAGCCGGGCUAAUACCGCAUACGACCUGAGGGUGAAAGAUUUAUCGCUCUUGGAGGGGCCCGC